UCCGUAGGCGGGCGAUUAAGUCAGUGGUGAAAGUCUGCAGCUCAACUGUAGAAUUGCCUUUGAUACUGGUCGUCUUGAGUUAUAGUGAAGUUGCCGGAAUAUGUAGUGUAGCGGUGAAAUGCAUAGAUAUUACAUAGAACACCGAUUGCGAAGGCAGGUGACUAACUAUAUACUGACGCUGAUGGACGAAAGCGUGGGGAGCGAACAGGAUUAGAUACCCUGGUAGUCC
rnacentral:rRNA from 1 species